UAGCCGUAAACGAUACUCGCUAGGUGUCGGCCACGGUGCGACCGUUGUCGGUGCCGUAGGGAAGCCGUGAAGCGAGCCACCUGGGAAGUACGGCCGCAAGGCUGGAACUUAAAGGAAUUGGCGGGGGAGCACAACAACGGGUGGAGCUUGCGGUUUAAUUGGAUUCAACGCCGGAAAUCUUACCGGGACCGACAGCAACAUGAAGGCCAAGCUGAAGACUUUGCCGGAUUAGCUGAGAGGAGGUGCAUGGCGUAGUCGUGU
rnacentral:rRNA from 1 species